AACGAACGCUGGCGGCGUGGCUAAGACAUGCAAGUCGAACGAAUUAUUCAAUUGAGUAAUCGAGCGAAUAAUUAGUGGCGUAAGGGUUAGUAAUGGAUAGGUAACGUACCCUCUGCUUCGUGAUAGCACCAGUCCCGAUUCGUCGGGACUUUCCGAAAGGGGUGGUAAUAGCGAAUAAUGUCAUUCGUCGAUAGUCGAAUGACCAAAGAUUUAUCAGCAGAGGAGCGGCCUAUCUCCUAUCAGCUUGUUGGUGGGGUAACGGCCUACCAAGGCAGCGACGGGUAGCGGGACUGAGAGGUUGACCCGCAACAUCGGGACUGAGACACUGCCCGGACCUCCACGGAGGGCUGCAGUAACGAAUAUUGCGCAAUGGGCGAAAGCCUGACGCAGCGACGCCGCGUGUGGGAGGAAGUCCUUCGGGAUGUAAACCACUGUCAGGGGGAAGAAAGUUCGCUUCGGCGGAUUGAUCCAACCCAAAGGAAGUCACGGCUAACUUCGUGCCAGCAGCCGCGGUAAUACGAAGGUGGCAAGCGUUGUUCGGUAUCACUGGGCUUAAAGGGUGUGUAGGCGGAAGGAAAGCGUUCUGUGAAAUCCCCCGGCUUAACCGGGGAAUUGCUUGACGAACUACCUUUCUUGAGGCAAGUAGGGUGCAUGGAACUCUUGGUGUAGCGGUGGAAUGCGUAGAUUUCAGAGGAACGCCGCGGUGAAGACGUGCACUGGGCUUGUCCUGACGCUGAGACACCGAAGCGUGGGUAGCGAACGGGAUUAGAUACCCGGUAGUCACGCGUAAACGAUGUCUANUAGGUCGUGGAAGUCUGACGCUUUCACACCGAAGCAAAGUGUUAAGUAGACGCCUGGGGAGUACGGCCGCAAGGCUAAACUCAAAGGAAUUGACGGGGGCUCACACAAGCGGUGGAGCAUGUGGAUCAAUUCGAAGCAACGCGAAGAACCUUACCUGGGUUUGACAUGCUUGUAUGCCUGCCGAGAAACCGGUUAGGCUGCCCUUCGGGGUGAAACUUGCACAGGUGCUGCAUGGCUGUCGUCAGCUCGUGUCGUGAGACGUUGGGUUAAGUCCUUCAACGAGCGCAACCCUUGUGCUUAGUUGCUAACUUGUUUUACAAGUGCACUCUAAGCAGACUGCCGCAGAUAAUGCGGAGGAAGGUGGGGAUGACGUCAAAUCAUCAUGCCCCUUACGUCCCGGGCUACACACGUGCUACAAUGGCCUGUACAGAGGGUAGCGAAAGAGCGAUCUUAAGCCAAUCCCAAAAAGCAGGCCCCAGUUCGGAUUGGAGGCUGCAACUCGCCUCCAUGAAGUAGGAAUCGCUAGUAAUCGCGGAUCAGCACGCCGCGGUGAAUACGUUCCCGGGCCUUGUACACACCGCCCGUCACACCACGAAAGUUGGCGAUACCUGAAGUUACUGGGCUAACCUGGCACUCAACUAAGCACAUUAAGCCUUAUUUUAAGCAAAUAAGCUAGUGUAUUUAGUUGAGUGCCGGGAGGCAGGUACCGAAGGUAUGGCUGGCGAUUGGGGUG
rnacentral:rRNA from 1 species